UAAUUGUUAGAAAUUAUUUGGAGAAAUAAUUAGUUAUGAACCUACCCACGGAUGCACUGGAGUUGGCCGAGCCACACUUGGGCCCGAAUGCAAUUCGUGUGGAUUUUAAUAUCCACUAAGAAAUUAAAGUAAUUUCUCAGAUUGGAGAUAGAGGUUACCAGUUUGUAUAAAAUAAUAGAAUUUUUAGACUAAAGUUCAAAUUUUUAGGCUUAAAAUAAUUCAUAUACUAAUAGAUCAAUUAUUCUCCUUUCAGAAAUGGCUAGAAUAUUAUCGCUCUAUUCACUGUUAGACAGUGACAAUGUUAUCGGACCUAACUUUGAUAGCU
rnacentral:lncRNA from 1 species